CUACUUCUUUGACAUAUUUUGCCUAGGAGUUAUUCCCCUUAGCCGCCAUCUUGUAGGGCAAAGCAGUGAAUUUUCCUCUUUGAGCAACCAAUUUUAAACAUACGUGCCAGAAAUAUAUGGAGGAAAAUAUUUACAUUCUCAAGAUUAUGAAUUAACAGAGACUUUAACAAACGUAUUUUCAAAAGAAAAAUCGUGAUAACUUUACCUCAGUAACCAGUAUAACAAAUUGAACUUGGUUGAAUAAUGAAGGGAUCUGGGAAUGUUGCCCGACAACAUGGCAGCCAUGGGGAAUAACUCUUGCUUUUAAAUUACCUCAAUGGAAAACCUUCUUGAAAAUUUGUAGAUGUAUGUAUAAUUCUACAGUGUUGUGUAAUAUGGCUUGCUGCAUUUUAUAUUUCAGACACUCAGGUGCAACAGUAUUUAAAAAAAAACAAACAUUAGGCCUCUCCUAGUUCACUAAGCCUUUACAAUAGUAUCGUGAUAAUAUAAGAAUGCAGAGAGCCUGUGCCAUGUCCAUCUUUCAACACACCAGCAUAACGUUAUCUACCUGGAUCUGUUAUUUAAGUUGUGAACAGAUAUCCCCAAGAAAGUUAUUACAUCUAUCUGGUAUAAAAAGUAGAAAAUUCAAGAUGAAAAUAUAAACUUACAGAAAAUAUGCAGUCGUUCUGCUCUUUCUUGUCUGCUUUCUGAGCCGCAUGAUGACGUAAUAUUUGACGUACGGCAUUCCAUAGUAAAACUACCUUUGGUUCCGUAACGUAAAUCUUAUAACCGUUGUCAUCAAAGUUCGACUUCAACACGGAAAUAGAUUUUCAAGAUAAAAAAAACUGAAAGACGAAAAUUAAAGUUAUAGGGUAUUUCCCGAUUCUGUGACGAAUACGAAACCGACAAGCCGAAUAAGCCAGGUUCUACUUGCACUUCCUGUUACAGGAAAAAAAAAACGUCAGCGAAAGAACCUCGUGUGGCUUGUUCCAGACUUUCCUUUUGGCUGAUUGCGCUCUAAUCCUUGAAACAAAGGUUCUACAUGACCGUAACACGGCAAGGUGAAGGUGAACUGAGCGACACCUAUUUGAAGGCUUUACAAAGUCUUGUGUGCACAUGAUGCAAAGUCCUGGAUGGUGUGUACGCUGUUUGUCAACAUCUGAAACUCACAUGUAUUUCAGGGAAAUGCUUGUCAGGACCCAAGACUGAAAAAAAGACUGAAAAACUGCCUUUAAACACAGACAUUAUUCACAUCAAUGGAUAAAUUAGAAACAUCCGAACAAUAUUACAUUAGAAUCAUCAGAGACUAUCAACUGUUAUCCCUCACUGUGGCAGAAACACCUAAAUAAACAUUGAAAUGAUAAAUUUCUUUGUUCAUUGCUUUUCUAAUGAUCUAUGAAUAUCGCAUAAUAUUUAUGCGAAUUUCGCACGAUUUAUACAUGAAAAACUGAUAAAUUUAAAUUCGCAUGUAUAUCAUGCGAAAAUAUGGUCACAUGAAAAUCGCAUGAAUUUCGCAUAAAUUUUAUAUGAGAACAUUCGCAUGAAAUUUGCAUGUGUGAUUUUUCGCACGAUUUUUGUAUGAUUUUUGCAUGAAUUUCAUACGAAAAGCAAAUCGCAUGAAAAUCAUGCGAGCCACUUUUCCC